CACGUAGGCACCAAGCGUUGUCCGGAUUUAUUGGGCGUAAAGAGCUCGUAGGCGGUUCAGUAAGUCGGGUGUGAAAACUCUGGGCUUAACCCAGAGCCGCCACUCGAUACUGCUGUGACUUGAGUUCGGUAGGGGAGCAGGGAAUUCCUAGUGUAGCGGUGAAAUGCGCAGAUAUUAGGAGGAACACCGGUGGCGAAGGCGCUGCUCUGGGCCGAUACUGACGCUGAGGAGCGAAAGCGUGGGGAGCGAACAGG
rnacentral:rRNA from 1 species